rnacentral:rRNA from 1 species
UACGUAGGCAGCAAGCGUUGUUCGGAGUUACUGGGCGUAAAGGGUGUGUAGGCGGUUCUUUAAGUUUGGUGUGAAAUCUCCCGGCUCAACCGGGAGGGUGCGCCGAAUACUGAGGGACUAGAGUGCGGGAGAGGAAAGUGGAAUUCCUGGUGUAGCGGUGAAAUGCGUAGAUAUCAGGAGGAACGCCGGUGGUGUAGACGGCUCUCUGGACCGUAACUGACGCUGAGACACGAAAGCGUGGGUAGCAAACAGG